UCUUAUUUGAUUUUUUACAAAAAUUUGAUUGAUAAAUUUUGUUGUAUAAUAUUUAAUACGUACGUUUAAUUAAUACGUUAUGGUGUUGCUAUAAUUCGCAGUAUCGGGGAUUAAGUCACGAAUUUUAAGCGCGCUUGCGAAUGUCGCUCUUAAUUAACAGCGUGAGCAUAAAUCAUAAACGAGAUGGCAAGCUAAUUUUCGGACACCCUGUGUGCAUGUAACGCAGGCGCAGGCAGCUGUCACCUUACACCCAUGGAGGAGGCAUGGGCUGCGGCGGCCAUUCUCAACUUAUCUCUAGGAUCUUUGUAAACAUGUCGUGAAAUCCGAGUAUUCAAGCAGUGGCGUAGAUCGCGAGGUGGAAGGACCCAUCGAAGCGUUCUCGAAGCUCCGAGCUCAAGACUUGCCAGACAAGAACCGCAGCAACGUGAAACAUAAUACAAGUUGCACCAGCCAGUCCUAAGCUCAGCCAUGCGAAGCAGCCAGCGGCUAAGGAACGCGACGUACGAAUCAGAUUACAUCUUACGUUGGCUGCUUAUCUUUAUUCUUCACUUUACUUCGCUUCAAUUCACUUCAUUUCGCUUCAGUGACAAUCCUUCGAUCGGCAUCUUAUAACCGCUCCGCGAUAUAUAUUCGUUCUUGAAAACAGCUUUCCAAGUAUGAUCACAAAAUUU